rnacentral:rRNA from 1 species
AAUCCAUAGGUUAAUGAGGCGAACCGGGGGAACUGAAACAUCUAAGUACCCCGAGGAAAAGAAAUCAACCGAGAUUCCCCCAGUAGCGGCGAGCGAACGGGGAGGAGCCCAGAGCCUGAAUCAGCAUGUGUGUUAGUGGAAGCGUCUGGAAAGGCGCGCGAUACAGGGUGACAGCCCCGUACACAAAAGCGCAUGUGCUGUGAGCUCGAUGAGUAGGGCGGGACACGUGGUAUCCUGUCUGAAUAUGGGGGGACCAUCCUCCAAGGCUAAAUACUCCUGACUGACCGAUAGUGAACCAGUACCGUGAGGGAAAGGCGAAAAGAACCCCGGCGAGGGGAGUGAAAAAGAACCUGAAACCGUGUACGUACAAGCAGUGGGAGCCCCACCACCAAAGCAUUUGCUGUACCGCGUUGACGGAGCGAAGCGACGUCAAACCGAUAAAACAGCAGUGUAAAGUGAGCCGCAGGGCGCUUUGCGCGACAGCGCAAAGGCAGGCGGUUUCGCGUAGCGAAAGCGAAUGCUUUGGGGUGGGGUGACUGCGUACCUUUUGUAUAAUGGGUCAGCGACUUAUAUUCUGUAGCAAGGUUAACCGAAUAGGGGAGCCGGAGGGAAACCGAGUCUUAAUUGGGCGUUAAGUUGCAGGGUAUAGACCCGAAACCCGGUGAUCUAGCCAUGGGCAGGUUGAAGGGUGGGUAACACUAACUGGAGGACCGAACCGACUAAUGUUGAAAAAUUAGCGGAUGACCUGUGGCUGGGGGUGAAAGGCCAAUCAAACCGGGAGAUAGCUGGUUCUCCCCGAAAGCUAUUUAGGUAGCGCCUCGUGAAUUCAUCUCCGGGGGUAGAGCACUGUUUCGGCUAGGGGGCCAUCCCGGCUUACCAACCCGAUGCAAACUGCGAAUACCGGAGAAUGUUAUCACGGGAGACACACGGCGGGUGCUAACGUCCGUCGUGAAGAGGGAAACAACCCAGACCGCCAGCUAAGGUCCCAAAGUCAUGGUUAAGUGGGAAACGAUGUGGGAAGGCCCAGACAGCCAGGAUGUUGGCUUAGAAGCAGCCAUCAUUUAAAGAAAGCGUAAUAGCUCACUGGUCGAGUCGGCCUGCGCGGAAGAUGUAACGGGGCUAAACCAUGCACCGAAGCUGCGGCAGCGACACUGUGUGUUGUUGGGUAGGGGAGCGUUCUGUAAGCCUGUGAAGGUGUGUCGUGAGGCAUGCUGGAGGUAUCAGAAGUGCGAAUGCUGACAUAAGUAACGAUAAAGCGGGUGAAAAGCCCGCUCGCCGGAAGACCAAGGGUUCCUGUCCAACGUUAAUCGGGGCAGGGUGAGUCGACCCCUAAGGCGAGGCCGAAAGGCGUAGUCGAUGGGAAACGGGUUAAUAUUCCCGUACUUGGUGUUACUGCGAAGGGGGGACGGAGAAGGCUAUGUUGGCCGGGCGACGGUU